rnacentral:rRNA from 1 species
UACGUAGGUGGCAAGCGUUAUCCGGAUUUACUGGGCGUAAAGAGGACGUAGGCGGUUUUUCAAGUCGGAUGUAAAAUCUCCCGGCUCAACUGGGAGGGACCAUUCGAUACUGUUGAGCUAGAAGGCAGCAGAGGGAGGCGGAACUCCCGGUGUAGUGGUGAUAUGCGUAGAUAUCGGGAGGAACACCAGUGGCGAAGGCGGCCUCUUGGGCUGUUAUUGACGCUGAGGUCCGAAAGCGUGGGGAGCGAACAGGAUUAGAUACCCUCGUA